rnacentral:rRNA from 1 species
AGGACGAACGCUGGCGGCGUGCUUAACACAUGCAAGUCGAACGGUGAAGGGGACUUCGGUCCCUGGAUCAGUGGCGAACGGGUGAGUAACACGUGGGCAACCUGCCCCUAGCUCCGGAAUAACCCCGGGAAACCGAGGCUAAUACCGGAUACGACCCUGCGCGGCAUCGCGCGGGGUGGAAAGUUUUUCGGCUAGGGAUGGGCCCGCGGCCUAUCAGCUUGUUGGUGGGGUAAUGGCCUACCAAGGCGACAACGGGUAGCCGGCCUGAGAGGGUGACCGGCCACACUGGGACUGAGACACGGCCCAGACUCCUACGGGAGGCAGCAGUGGGGAAUAUUGCGCAAUGGGCGAAAGCCUGACGCAGCGAGCCGCGUGAGGGAUGGACGGCCUUCGGGUGUAAUCCUCUUUCGGUAGGGAUGAAGCCGUUCGGUGACAGUACCUGACAGAAGAAGCACCGGCUAACUACGU